rnacentral:rRNA from 1 species
AUACGGAGGGUGCAAGCGUUAAUCGGAAUUACUGGGCGUAAAGCGCGCGUAGGCGGUUUGGUCAGUUGGAUGUGAAAGCCCAGGGCUCAACCUUGGAACUACAUUCAAUACUGCCAGGCUAGAGUACGGUAGAGGGAGGUAGAAUUCCACGUGUAGCGGUGAAAUGCGUAGAGAUGUGGAGGAAUACCAGUGGCGAAGGCGGCCUCCUGGAUCGAUACUGACGCUGAGGUGCGAAAGCGUGGGGAGCAAACAGGAUUAGAUACCCCAGUAGUCC